CCUACGGGGUGCAGCAGUGAGGAAUAUUGGUCAAUGGACGAGAGUCUGAACCAGCCAAGUAGCGUGAAGGAUGACUGCCCUAUGGGUUGUAAACUUCUUUUAUAUGGGAAUAAAAUGUUCCACGUGUGGGAUUUUGUAUGUACCAUAUGAAUAAGGAUCGGCUAACUCCGUGCCAGCAGCCGCGGUAAUAAGGAGGAUCCGAGCGUUAUCCGGAUUUAUUGGGUUUAAAGGGAGCUUAGGUGGAUUGUUAAGUCAGUUGUGAAAGUUUGCGGCUCAACCGUAAAAUUGCAGUUGAAACUGGCAGUCUUGAGUACAGGAGAGGUGGGCGGAAUUCGUGGUGUAGCGGUGAAAUGCUUAGAUAUCACGAAGAACUCCGAUUGCGAAGGCAGUUCACUGGACUGCAACUGACACUGAGGCUCGAAAGUGUGGGUAUCAAACAGGAUUAGAUACCCCAGUAGUC
rnacentral:rRNA from 1 species